rnacentral:rRNA from 1 species
CAGUAGCCACGGUAAUACGAAGGGGGCUAGCGUUGCUCGGAAUUACUGGGCGUAAAGGGAGCGUAGGCGGACAUUUAAGUCAGGGGUGAAAUCCCAAGGCUCAACCUUGGAACUGCCUUUGAUACUGGAAGUCUUGAGUUCGGGAGAGGUGAGUGGAACUGCGAGUGUAGAGGUGAAAUUCGUAGAUAUUCGCAAGAACACCAGUGGCGAAGGCGGCUCACUGGCCCGAUACUGACGCUGAGGUGCGAAAGCUAGGGGAGCAAACAGGAUUAGAUACCCCUGUAGUCCCUGUCUCUUAUAC